UCUGGGAAACUGCCUGAUGGAGGGGGAUAACUACUGGAAACGGUGGCUAAUACCGCAUAACGUCGCAAGACCAAAGAGGGGGACCUUCGGGCCUCUUGCCAUCAGAUGUGCCCAGAUGGGAUUAGCUUGUUGGUGAGGUAACGGCUCACCAAGGCGACGAUCCCUAGCUGGUCUGAGAGGAUGACCAGCCACACUGGAACUGAGACACGGUCCAGACUCCUACGGGAGGCAGCAGUGGGGA
rnacentral:rRNA from 1 species